rnacentral:rRNA from 1 species
GAUGAACGCUAGCGGCAGGCUUAAUACAUGCAAGUCGAACGGUAAGGUCUCUUCGGAGAUACACUAGUGGCGCACGGGUGUGUAACGCGUAUGCAACCUACCUUUAACUGGGAAAUAGCCCCGAGAAAUCGGGAUUAAUGUCCCAUAUUAUUUUCCGAAUGCAUAUUUUGGAAAUGAAAGUCCCGGCGGUUAAAGAUGGGCAUGCGUGACGUUAGCUAGUUGGUGAGGUAACGGCUAACAAAGGCAACGAUGUCUAGGGGUCCUGAGAGGGUUAACCCCCACACUGGUACUGAGACACGGACCAGACUCCUACGGGAGGCAGCAGUAAGGAAUAUUGGGCAAUGGACGCAAGUCUGACCCAGCCAUGCCGCGUGCAGGAUGAAUGUCCUAUGGAUUGUAAACUGCUUUUGUGCGGGAAAAACCCCCUGGUUUCGUACCAGGGCUGAUUGUACCGUACGAAUAAGCAUCGGCUAACUCCGUGCCAGCCGCCGCUGUAAUAC